UUAUUGGAGAGUUUGAUCCUGGCUCAGGAUGAACGCUGGCGGCGUGCCUAAUACAUGCAAGUCGAGCGAAUGGAUUAAGAGCUUGCUCUUAUGAAGUUAGCGGCGGACGGGUGAGUAACACGUGGGUAACCUGCCCAUAAGACUGGGAUAACUCCGGGAAACCGGGGCUAAUACCGGAUAACAUUUUGAACCGCAUGGUUCGAAAUUGAAAGGCGGCUUCGGCUGUCACUUAUGGAUGGACCCGCGUCGCAUUAGCUAGUUGGUGAGGUAACGGCUCACCAAGGCAACGAUGCGUAGCCGACCUGAGAG
rnacentral:rRNA from 2 species